rnacentral:rRNA from 1 species
UACGUAGGGCGCGAGCGUUGUCCGGAAUUAUUGGGCGUAAAGAGCUCGUAGGCGGCCUGUCGCGUCGGUUGUGAAAGCCCGGGGCUCAACCCCGGGUCUGCAGUCGAUACGGGCAGGCUAGAGUUCGGUAGGGGAGAUCGGAAUUCCUGGUGUAGCGGUGAAAUGCGCAGAUAUCAGGAGGAACACCGGUGGCGAAGGCGGAUCUCUGGGCCGAUACUGACGCUGAGGAGCGAAAGCGUGGGGAGCAAACAGG